rnacentral:rRNA from 1 species
UACGGAGUGUGCAAGCGUUACUCGGAAUCACUGGGCAUAAAGCGCGCGUAGGCGGGCUUUCAAGUCGGUUGUGAAAUCCCUCAGCUCAACUGAGGAACUGCAUCCGAUACUGUUUGUCUUGAGGACGAGAGGGGAGAGUGGAACUUCUGGUGGAGCGGUGAAAUGCGCAGAUAUCAGGAAGAACACCCGUGGCGAAGGCGGCUCUCUGGGACGGUACUGACGCUGAGACGCGAAAGCGUGGGGAGCGAACAGG